CAGGCAUGUCGAGGACGCCCUGCUACCCCGUGUCUCCUGGAGGAAUGGCUCAGAUCCCUCACCCUCUGGGCUGGCUGCAGGGGCAGACCAUGUACCCCAUGGCUGGAGGAUUCUCCCCUGCAGCCAUGGCCAUGAACGCCUCCAUGUCCAGCCUGGUGUCCGGAAACUUCUCUCCUCGCCUGGUCCCCCCUCAGUCGUCCAUCCCUCAUUCAGCCAUCAGACACACGGGGGUGAAGCAGGAGCCUGGAGGCAGCCAGC